UCCCUGGCUGUCCAGUGGUUAGGACUCUGUGCUUCCAUUGCAGCAGGCCUGGGUUUGAUCCCUGGUUGGGGAA
rnacentral:tRNA from 1 species